UUAUGAUUGUGACAGGUCGAAAUGUUUCCUAAUUCUAUUUGUUGAGGAGGUCCCUGAAUGAAGGGAUCCAUGUCUCUGAAUAAGGAGAUCCCUUUAAGUGUACUUCUGAGGUGGUCCCUAAAAGGGGAAGUUCACUUUGACCUUAAGUCUGAGAGGGGUGAUAUGGGGUGAUUUGGAGAGAAGAAUAGAUUUUUUGCCACAUCAUAGGGGAAGUGCACUUUGACCUUGAGUCAGAGAGGGUAUAGGGUAAUGAGAGAAAGGAUAUUUUGCCAGAUCACAGAUUGAGAGGGAUGAGCAUAGACCAUGCAUCCACUCAGGACUUAGGACGUUGAAUUUGACAGAGAAGCUAACUCUGAGUAGAACUUCAUACUUAAUAGUAUUUCUGCAGCAUCUAUGAGGUCUUACUUCAUCACUUGGUUGGAGAUGGCAGUUAGUUGGAGAUGGUGCACUAUCUACAUGUAGUUGGUCUAAUUCUAGUCUCGUUGUCUCGUUAGGAGUCUCUCCUCGAGAGCUCAAGAGGGGGUUGAUCCAUCCUCAAAAUAAAUACCACCUACAACUCUAAAUGACUUCGUCGAGUGUCAUAUGUGCCUGCUGUUACAUGAUUAUCAUUAUUAUUAUUAUUAGUAGUAGUAGUAGU